CCUUGACAUGAUUCUGUAUGAAGACUCUGAUUUCUCUUCUAAGACAAGGAUUGGAACUAUGCCAUACUUGGCUCCAGAAUAUGUAGAUUCCGGCGAAGUGUCUCCAAAGAGCGACUGCUAUUCCUCUGGGAUCAUACUUCUACAUCUGAUCAUAGGACUAAGGAGUACAGACCCACCAUUCGGAGAGCAAAGUAUUGUGAAAUGGGCAAAACCAUUGUCAAAAGAAAAAACCUACUGAGAAUUGAUUGAACACAGCCUGACCGACUCUUGCAAUGUCAACCAACUCGCUUGGAUGAUCCGAGUGGCGGAUAAGUGCCUGAUCAAGCAUCCUUACAAGAGAAUGUCCAUGGACCAGGUGGUUUACGCAUUGAAUCGCAUAGUAGACGGCGACACCAUUCAUGUCAUCAGGAACUUCUCGCCAACACAGUCAGAUUCUCGAAGUGGCAUUCAGGACUCCUCCUCCACCUCCUCCUCGUCAGGGUUCCUCUCCGAUGAUAAAUUCUUCACUACACAAACAUCGGCAAUACAUCUUUGUGCGUGACAUACACGACAUAGCUUGGAAGGAAAUUUAAGCCUUUAUUCACCCCCAAAAGCAGGUUGUUCAAGUACGCGAGGAACAUUUCAAUUUUUCAGAGAGGAUAGAGCUGUAGUAAUUGCCAUACUUAUAG